rnacentral:misc_RNA from 1 species
ACUGUGAUUGGUUUAGAGGGAAUAACUUUCUGGACCAAUGCCCAGAUCCAUCCUCUAACUUACUACCUAAUUCAAACGGAGAUGGAAAAUUGCAGUCACAGGAAUAAGAAGUCUUUUAUAUUUGCAUUAGUAAUUUCUGCUUCUGUUGUACUCUGUAUUUCCUUGGUGUUGGUUGUGGUCAGUAUUCAUGGAAGGAAGAAGUCCAGUAGACUCUCUAACUUAGGAGGCAAAGUAAUGGUGACUUUUGCAGAUGCUCCAACUGAACUGAGCUAUGGCAGUGUGAUCAGAGCAACUGGGAAUUUCAGCAUUAGGAGCCUCAUAGGCACAGGUGGCUCUGGGUCAACUUACAAAGCUGAAUUGGCCCCAGGUUACCUUGUA